GGAGUGGAGCAACUAAAACAUACUAACUCAAGAUAAAUGUUGUAGCCAAGACAAGUCCUUCAGAAGGAAAGGGCCAUGGAAAAGAAAAGAUAGUUUUCGGAAAAUAUCCGCUCCACGUAUGGUGGCAGUCAAAAAGAGCUAGGAACCAUAAGGAAAGAGUCAGAUAAUAAGACAGAAAAUAUCACACUACUACAUAAAUUGAUGGUACACCCACACCUUGAAGACUGCAUGCCAUCCUGGAUGCCCCAUCUCAAAAAAGAUAUAUGAGAACUGGAAAAGAAUUAUAGAGUAUAUUUGCUUGGGAGAGUUCAGGAACAAAUUACCAGGUCUGCAGAAUUUGGUGUCACCUAAGCAGUUAAUAAGAACACUACAACUGCAGAGACACAGAACAUGAAGGAAAGCGAUUAUGCAGCCAGAUAUGAUCAAGACUACUCCUCUUCUACUUUCUGCUGUACUCUGUGAAAGCACAACGAAAGAGUCAAAUAUUUUUAGUAUUUUCUUCUCAAGAGGAAAAGCAAGACAAUUUUCCACUCAGGGGUAGACAGGCAUUCUGACUACACCACUGCAUUCACUGUUCCUAUCACCCUCAGAACCAUGAUAGUAGUGAAUUAAGAGUCCUAAAUUUACCAUAUAGACACAAACCCAUAUGUGGCUUGGCAUUUAUUCUUUGUCUAUAGAUGAUCUAAACUGAGAGCAAAGAUUUAGAAUUAAUAUCUGCAAAUUUCAACUUAAAAUGACACACAUAUAUCCAUGACCACUCGGCUACUAGUUCACAAACUUUGCUGAUACAAAAAUGCUACAACCAACAUGCAUAAUUAUUGCUUAAAAUAUUACUUUAAGAACAAGCACUCGUUCACUACGUUUAUCAUCAACAGACAUGACAUUCCAUUUCCUCUUCAAACAAGUCAUGCAAUCAAGCUUGCCCUAAAAUACAGGCUUGUACACAAACAGGUCCCAGUUUGUGAAGACAGUAGGUCAAUACCGUUUUUUCGUUAUUAAAUGACAGUGCUGCAGUAUUUUUCAAGCAGUGUUCUCAACAUUAUAAUAAUUUAUUGGAAGCUUGAAAUAGUGUCUGAUGAAAUGCAUUCUCUCCCUCUUGUGAAUAUACACUUCUUUGGAGUGAUUCAGACACAUUUAGGGAUCCUAGGGCUUAGUGCUUCAUUAGGUUUGGUAGUUUCUACUCAGAGUUUCUCUCCCUCAAAACUCAUUCUUCUAUCAAUAGAUGAGGUUUCAUAUUAAGUUAUUUUUAGAGUAUCUGACUGUGCCACGUACAUUAAUAAAUUAAGCGUCACAACACAAGCAAGGGAAGUGUAAGGACGUAGAGAAGAAGUAGCCUCAUUUUACAAAGGGAGACUCUGAGGCACAGAGUAGUUAAGUGACUUGCUAAGGUUCCCAUAGAGAGCUUAUGGCACAGCCAAGAAUGGAACCCCUAUCUCCCAAUUCCCAUUCUUGUGCCUUAAUAACAAAGCUAUCCUUCCAUCUCAAAGUGUCAGACGUUUGGCCCAUCCAAAUCAUGUGGAUCUCGGGAGAGAACAGAAUCAAGGACCAUUAAUAUCAAGGUCCUAAGCUUCCAUUCUGCCUCCCUUGAUAAACAGCAGCAUGGUUCUGACAGAGCAAUACUGAGAAGGCCUACCAUAAUGCCUGUGGAACCACAGUGAAUUUCAUAUUACAGAGAAGAAACCUGUGAAGUUACCUGUAAAUAAAAAAAAUUAGUUUGUGCCCCAUUUUUACUUUUUAUGUAUAAAGGUGAGGUGAAAAGCUUUAGGCAUCUGAGGUCAUGCCAUUUCUCCCCACCAUUACAACUCCAAUCCUCUUGCCUUCCACCCCACAAAACUAGUCUGUCCAUCGCCACCUGAGUUGGGAGAUUUUGAUUUAAUUUAUCUUCAAUACAGGCAUUAACAACUUUCUGGUUUCCAUAAGUAUCUUCCAUUUUCCAUCUUUUGAGGUUAGGGACAUUCCUAAUCAUACACAUUCAUAAAUUCAAAUUCACAGUAGGCACAUGUAUUAACUUGGCCUUUUUCACAUGAUGAUACAAUACUAUGACACAAGCAUAUUUUGCUAAGGCCUAUUACUUUCAAUAGUCAAAAUUGCUUGUGGUAUUCCAACCCAUUGCUGUAUCCAAAUUCAUGUAUGAAAUUAAUACAAGUUAUAUUUAAAAAAACAAUUUUAAGGUAUAUAAUAAUACGAUAAUACAUUAUUUACUUACAUUAUUUAUAAUAAGUUGCUCUAAAAAUAGGA